CAAGUUUCGCGCAGGGUUGACGUCCCCUAAACGUCCGCCAUAUUCACCCCGUUUUCCCGCGUAACGUUAAGAAUUUUCGCGCGCACCACGUUCAGAAACUAGCAACGUUCCUUAUGAAGGAAGUAAUUACGAAACUCUGUUCUCAUCUAACUACACAUUUGUUUUUUGGGGACAAUAAUUUCUACAGUAUACUAGAACUGUUGAGUCGAGAAUGAGACGCGAUGAAUCUGUAAAGAGCAUAACAAGGUUUUCGUCGGCCCGCCGAAGCGAACAACGGCCGGCUUUGACGCUCGGCCUGAGACAGAAUUCGCUUACUAUCAGCACACUCGCGCAGCAGGCAGCGUACUUAGCAGAAAAGGCGAGGCAAACAGAGACCGGGGAUCCCAAUCUACAAGCGCCGCCCACUUCUUGGUUUAGACUUGU